rnacentral:rRNA from 1 species
CCUACGGGCGGCAGCAGUGAGGAAUAUUGGUCAAUGGACGCAAGUCUGAACCAGCCAAGUAGCGUGCAGGAUGACGGCCCUCCGGGUUGUAAACUGCUUUUAGUUGGGAAUAAAAGGGGGCUCGUGAGCCCCGUAUUGUAUGUACCAUCAGAAAAAGGACCGGCUAAUUCCGUGCCCGCAGCCGGUGUAAUACGGAAGGUCCGGGCGUUAUCGGGUUUUAUUGGGUUUAAAGGGAGCGUAGGGCGGCUUUUAAGUCAGCUGGUAAAGUCGGCGGCUCAACCGUGGAAUUGCAGUUGAAAAUGGAGGCCUUGAGUGGACACAGGGAGGCCGGAAUUCGUGGUGUAGCGGUGAAAUGCUUAGAUAUCAUGAAGAACUCCGAUCGCGAAGGCAGGUGUCCGGGGUGCAACUGACGCUGAGGCUCGAAAGUGCGGGUAUCAAACAGGAUUAGAUACCCGGGUAGUC